CUACGGGCGGCACCAGUGAGGAAUAUUGCAUAAUGGGGGGAACCCUGAUGCAGCAACGCCGCGUGGAGGAUGACGCAUUUCGGUGUGUAAACUCCUUUUAUAUGUCAAGAAAAUGACGGUAGCAUAUGAAUAAGCACCGGCUAACUCCGUGCCAGCAGCCGCGGUAAUACGGAGGGUGCAAGCGUUACUCGGAAUCACUGGGCGUAAAGGACGCGUAGGCGGGUUGGAAAGUCAGGUGUGAAAUCCUACAGCUUAACUGUAGAACUGCACUUGAAACUUCUAAUCUAGAGUAUGGGAGGGGGAGAUGGAAUUAGUGGUGUAGGGGUAAAAUCCGUAGAUAUCACUAGGAAUACCUAAAGCGAAGGCGAUCUCCUGGAACAUUACUGACGCUAAGGCGUGAAAGCGUGGGCAGCAAACAGGAUUAGAUACCCCUGUAGUC
rnacentral:rRNA from 1 species